rnacentral:rRNA from 1 species
UACAGGGGGCGCGAGCGUUGCUCGGAAUCACUGGGCGUAAAGCGUACGCAGGCGGGUCGAUAAGUCCGUUGUGAAAUCCCAGGGCUCAACUCUGGAACUGCGAUGGAGACUGUCGAUCUUGAGUACGGGAGAGGGGGGCGGAAUUCCUGGUGUAGAGGUGAAAUUCGUAGAUAUCUGGAGGAAAACCGGUGGCGAAGGCGGCGUUCUGGACUGUUUCUGACACUGAAUAACGAAAGCCAGGGGAGCAAACGGG